CUACUAGAAGAGUUUAUUGAAACAAGGAUACGAGCCACUUAAGUCAAAGCUGAACUGGGUUUGGUUUUGAUUUGAUUUUCGGGUUAGACAAAGCUAAAGAAAAGGGAAAAAAAAAACUUUUUCGUUUGGAAAAUUGCACGAGGGAAUCUGGUCUUCAGCAGUGAAGUAACGAUAUUUCUUUUCUUUUUUUUUUGGUGAAAAUAAAACCGCCAGAAAGGGAAAAAAAAAAAGAGGAAGAAGAAGAGCAGGAUUAAGGUAGAAGAAAGAUCUACAGCUAUGAGCAAAGUAAAAGUGGAGAAGAAGAGAUUAAGGAAGAUAUUAAAGAAGGCAGAAAGGGUCACAUCGUUUGGUAGAGCAGGCCUGUAAGAAAAUUAAAUGUGAAAUGGAGACAUGGGAUUGAAGAGAAUGUGGGCAGGAAAGCAGCAGAGUUAAGAGAGAGAGUAGCUAGAGAAGA
rnacentral:lncRNA from 1 species